CUUAUCACGAGUGACGGAGGGAUGGGCCCGAUGAAGUCACGGCAACCGGCGGUUUCCGCAAGGUGCCAAAUCCCACAGCGCGAGCAUUACGCGAGCAGCUGACAGAUAAG
rnacentral:ncRNA from 1 species